GCCUCCCUGUUGUUCUCGUGAUUGGACUUCAAUAAUUUUGAGCCAAUAUUUUUUGAACGGGGUUGAGGAAUCGACUGUGGUGAGCAUGCCUUCUUUAGGAAGGAAGCCUGAAGCAGUUUACCGAUCCCCCACCUAUAGUUAUAGGUUCAAAAAAAAGGUCUGAUUACGGUGUGACGGGGGGGUA
rnacentral:other from 1 species